rnacentral:rRNA from 1 species
CCUACGGGUGGCUGCAGUGGGGAAUAUUGGACAAUGGGCGAAAGCCUGAUCCAGCCAUGCCGCGUGUGUGAAGAAGACCUUCGGGUUGUAAAGCACUUUCAGUGGGGAAGAAAGCCUUGGGGCUAAUACCCUCGAGGAAGGACAUCACCCACAGAAGAAGCACCGGCUAACUCCGUGCCAGCAGCCGCGGUAAUACGGAGGGUGCGAGCGUUAAUCGGAAUUACUGGGCGUAAAGCGCGCGUAGGCGGUCUGAUAAGCCGGUUGUGAAAGCCCCGGGCUCAACCUGGGAACGGCAUCCGGAACUGUCAGGCUAGAGUGCAGGAGAGGAAGGUAGAAUUCCCGGUGUAGCGGUGAAAUGCGUAGAGAUCGGGAGGAAUACCAGUGGCGAAGGCGGCCUUCUGGACUGACACUGACGCUGAGGUGCGAAAGCGUGGGUGGCAAACAGGAUUAGAUACCCUAGUAGUC